AUUAGGGUUUUAAUUAGAGGUCAAGAGGAUCGCCGCCUCGCUUGGAGGUUGGGAAGGAGAGGUUGGUGGUGUCGUCUCACCGGUAGGGGACUGUAUAAUCUAUCAAGAUCCUGUUAUUCAGAUGGCAACUAUGACUAGAGCAAGUGCCCAUCUUCGUAAUGUAUUGCCAGAGGUUAAUCUGGAUCAAAGCUAUGAACCCCAGAAACGAACAAAGAAAACUUCUGAUGUUGCACCAACAGUUGAAACUAAAGAAUAGAAUUCAGUCCCCCAGGAAUCGGUGCAUUUAAAAUCUCAAGAACCUGAAAUUGUUGAUUUAAACCAAGGAAGCAUCUCGUGAAGCAUGUGAAUCCAGAUCUCCUGAUAUUACCAUGCUUGAAGCUGAGGAUACCAGCAAAGUAGAGUCCCUUAAGCAGCGUUUGGUAGAGCUUAGUGCAGAUUAUGGCAUUCCGCAGCUUGAAAGGCUCUAUGCUCGGGUUAUAAAAGCUGUCUUUGACGCUAAAACUGGUAAAAGUAAAGAUGUUAUUAAGGUAUUGAUUCUUAGCUAUUUGUUCAAGUUUGUUGAGGACAAAGCAAACUUUUGAUAUCAUAAGAAUUUUAGUCCUGGUAGGAAUUAAUCUGAAUUAUAAACGUUAAUCUGCUGGUCAAAUCAUUCAAUUUGUACAUCGAUCUGGUAAAAGUAAAGAUGUUAUUAAGGAAUCAAUUCUAAUAUAUUUGCAGCUUGUGUUUUAUACAAGGUGGGUAAAUUAGUAUCACUUGCGCUAUUGGCAGCGAUGGACAAAGUUCAUUGUAGCUCCAGCAUAAUUUUUUUAUAUAAUCUGAAGGAUGCAAGCUUCGACUGGAGCAAGAAAGUUUCUAAACAGUCACUAUGCUUAAGUGGCUAUGAAUAGAAAUAUCUAUUUGGAAUAUUGAGUUUUCAGUGUUCUCAAUGACCGCUGCAGAGUAUUGAUGUCUUGCGAUUGUAUUGAUAAAUAUGUUUCUUAAUUAACUGUUUGAAGUAAUAUGUAUUCUUUUAUGUGUGAUUUUUUUUAUUUCACAAUACAACUAAUUAAAAGGAGCCAGUGCAGAACAACCCCCCUCUCUAGAUUGUUAAUAAAUUUAGUCCUUCUUGCCUAUUUGGCCAAGUCCUGCAGGAUGAUGUAAAUAAUAUGUAUGACAGUUGCUUCUGAUAUGGUUUCUUAAUAGUAAUUCUGCUUCUACUAAUGGUUAUCUAUACUAAUUGCGUAUGAUACUAAUUUUUUAUUUUCUUUUCUUUUUGUUGAUCUACAGGUGGCUUGCAGAGACUACCCCCACCCACGACAUCUCUGUGCUAAGUAUCACUUCACGUCCACUACUGUACAUGAAAAACACUGCAGCCAGUGUCACUGUUAUGUCCGUGACUUACUGGCUCCAUGUCUCCACUGGGAUGGAAAUCUUUGCCAUGCCACCGAUAAAUAAGAAUAUUUGAAAAUGAGAGGAAGUCAUUAAAGAACAGACACCAAGCUGCCGUAUCAGUUCCUAGAGUUUACACUUCUAGUCAGCUGAGAUGAUCCCCAUCAGUCAAGGUACAGUAUCAAUUUCAUUAGAACCCACCUAUAUAUGUACCCUCUAGCCGGGUCCUCGGACCAGCAACAAUUUGUGCAUGUUCAUGGUCGGCUAGUUUUACAACAGGAUUUGAUCAUUCUGGACAGGUGCUUAGAAACAGAUUUCGGCUGAACUUGGUGUUGCUGCACCUGUGCAGUACAGAUAACGAUCUAGAAGACAUACUACAGGUAAUGCAGCUCCUCAAGUUAAAUCUCCUCCCUCAGUAUGAAAUAUGAA